rnacentral:lncRNA from 1 species
CGUCUGGGAAGUGAGGAGCGUCUCCGCCCAGCAGCCACCCCGUCCGGGAGGGAGGUGGGGGGGGUCAGCCCCCCGCCCGGCCAGCCGCCCCGUCCUGGAGGUGAGGGGCUCCUCUGCCCGGCCGCCCCUACUGGGAAGUGAGGAGCCCCUCUGCCCGGCCAGACGCCCCGUCCAGGAGGGAGGUGGGGGGGUCAGCCCCCCGCCCGGCCAGCCGCCCAGUCCGGGAGGGAGGUGGGGGGUCAGCCCCCCGCCCGGCCAGCCGCCCCGUCUGGGAGGGAGGUGGGGGGAUCAGCCCCCCGCCUGGCCAGCCGCCCCAUCCGGGAGGUGAGGGGCGCCUCUGCCCGGCCGCCCCUACUGGGAAGUGAGGAGCCCCUCUGCCCGGCCAGCCGCCCCGCCCGGGAGGGAGGUGGGGGGGUCAUCCCCCCACCUGGCCAGCCGCCCCAUCCGGGAGGGAGGUGGGGGGGUCAGCCCCCUGCCCGGCCAGCCGCCCCGUCCGGGAGGGGGGAGGGGGGGUCAGCCCCCUGCCCGGCCAGCCGCCCCGUCCGGGAGGGAGGUGGGGGGGGUCAGCCCCCCUUCCGGCCGGCCGCCCCGUCCGGGAGGUGAGGGGCGCCUCUGCCCGGCCGCCCCUACUGGGAAGUGAGGACCCCUCUGCCCGGCCAGCCGCCCCGUCCGGGAGGGAGGUGGGGGGGACAGCCCCCCGCCCAGCCAGCCGCCCUAUCCAGGAGGUGAGGGGCGCCUCUGCCCGGCCGUCCCUACUGGGAAGUGAGGAGCCCCUCUGCCUGGCCAGCCGCCCCGUCCGGGAGGGUGGUGGGGGGGUCAGCCC